rnacentral:rRNA from 1 species
CCUACGGGGGGCUGCAGUGGGGAAUAUUGGACAAUGGGGGGAACCCUGAUCCAGCCAUGCCGCGUGUGUGAAGAAGGCCCUCGGGUUGUAAAGCACUUUCAGUGAGGAAGAACGCCUGGUGGUUAAUACCCAUCAGGAAAGACAUCACUCACAGAAGAAGCACCGGCUAACUCCGUGCCAGCAGCCGCGGUAAUACGGAGGGUGCGAGCGUUAAUCGGAAUUACUGGGCGUAAAGCGCGCGUAGGUGGCUUGAUAAGCCGGUUGUGAAAGCCCCGGGCUCAACCUGGGAACGGCAUCCGGAACUGUCAAGCUAGAGUGCAGGAGAGGAAGGUAGAAUUCCCGGUGUAGCGGUGAAAUGCGUAGAGAUCGGGAGAAAUACCAGUGGCGAAGGCGGCCUUCUGGACUGACACUGACACUGAGGUGCGAAAGCGUGGGUAGCAAACAGGAUUAGAUACCCCAGUAGUC